UUUUUUUUUUUUGUUUUAAAAAAAAAAAAAAAAAAAAAAAAAA
rnacentral:ribozyme from 1 species